CCUACGGGAGGCUGCAGUGGGGAAUAUUGCACAAUGGGGGAAACCCUGAUGCAGCGAAGUAGCGUGAGUGAAGAAGUAUUUCGGUACGUAAAGCUCUAUCAGCAGGGAAGAAAAUGACGGUACCUGACUAAGUAGCCCCGGCUAACUACGUGCCAGCAGCCGCGGUUAUACGUAGGGGGCAAGCGUUAUCCGGAUUUACUGGGUGUAAAGGGAGCGUAGACGGCAGCGCAAGUCUGGAGUGAAAUCCCAUGGCUUAACCAUGGAACUGCUGUUGAAACUGGGCAGCUGGAGUGCAGGAGAGGUAAGCGGAAUUCCUAGUGUAGCGGUGAAAUGCAUAGAUAUUAGGAGGAACACCAGUUGCGAAGGCAGCUUACUGGACUGUAACUGACGUUGAGGCUCGAAAGCGUGGGGAGCAAACAGGAUUAGAUACCCUUGUAGUC
rnacentral:rRNA from 1 species